GCUUUGAAGAGGGAGCACCAUUUUGCCUGUUUCUCAUGUGUGAGCAGAGGGACUCAGACGGCGCUGGCUCCAAUCCAGAUUUGCUGUUACGCACAGCGCCCUCCACAACCAUCCAUGAAGUGGAGCAGAAGAACUUCCGCCUUUCAGAGCAAGCCUCCUGGGAUUCAUUGAUUUUGUAAUCCCUUGCCUCUAUUUGUAUUAUAAUACAUUGAAACCAAAGCUAGCAUUUCAAAAAUCAGGACCAAGUAUUUUAGUUACUUGGGACCAAGAACAUACAGUUCCAGUGAAUGAAAUUAACAUAAGGACAGAGCCAUUCGACAAAGAAAAAGAAAAGGGAUCCUUUUUCAGAUCCAGAAACAUUAAAUUAGACGGUACAAAAAUCCAUCCGGGAAACCCCAUAUGGCUCCAGUCACCAGCCAGGCCAUCACUCAUUUUGUAGUUUACAUUCCAGGAGAUUAAAGAUACAAUUCAGAUGAACUGUUACAAGAUAACUCCAUGUCAACAGCUCAACUCCGAUCGGGUCAAGGGAUACAUUGGCAAUGAAGGAAAAUCAUAAAGCUGACAGCCAGAGGCCUGGCUGGGGAGUGGCUCCUGUGGGGCAAGAGGUAUCCAGCAGGAAGAAGGCGAAACCCUAACAGCCUCCGCUGGGGGCCAAAGCCAGCUUUCCUAGCUGGGAAAAGCACAUCCAAUCCCAGCACACGCUGUUCUGUAACAACAGAAAAUCCUUCCCGUGGACUUUGUGCUCCCAGUGGUAAGGAGCACAGAUGGGCUGGUCCUAUGCCGGGUUCCUCUUCCUGCCCAUGGGUGUGUCCAGGUGAUGGCUCCUUUUUUCCCCAUCAUCAAACACCCAGAGCCCCCGAUCAGUUUUCCACAGCGCAGGGUGCAGAGAGGGAAGGAGAAGGCCGCUGUUCAUCACCCUGGUGCCUGGUCCCCUGCACCGGGCAGAGGCCUCUCUUCCACCGGGAGCCUGGCCCCGGCCCCUUGGCUGUGUCACUGAGAAGUGCCUAACACAACCUGUCACCCACGCUCUCCUCCAGCAUCCCGAGUCAGCCACUCACAGCCAUUAUUCUUUCCACGUGAAACUGUGAAAUGAAGACAUAGAGGGAGUGGAAUUAAAGAACCGGCUAUUAACAGAAUUACCUUAAAAAGCGUUUCACUUUAACACAAAAAUUGAUUUCAUUCAAAAAGGCAAUAAUGCACAUUAAAAAUUUUAAAGUAUCAAAAGAUGUACGAUUUUUCUCGACAUUUGGGCACCCAGUUUACUGCCUCAAAGUCAAAUAUUGUUACUAAUGUUUUAUGUAUUAUUAAAGGGUUAA
rnacentral:lncRNA from 1 species